rnacentral:rRNA from 1 species
CGCGUAGGCGGGAUGGCAAGUCGGUCGUGAAAUCCUUCGGCUCACCGAAGAACGUCGGCCGAUACUGCCGUUCUUGAGGGAUGCAGAGGAGACUGGAAUUCCCGGUGUAGCGGUGAAAUGUGUAGAGAUCGGGAGGAACACCGGUGGCGAAGGCGGGUCUCUGGGCAUCUCCUGACGCUGAGGCGCGAAAGCGUGGGGAGCAAACGGGAUUAGAUACCCCGGUAGUCCACGCCAUAAACGAUGACGACUAGGUGUGGGGUGGUUCAGUCCACUCCGUGCCGCAGCUAACGCAUUAAGUCGUCCGCCUGGGGAGUACGGCCGCAAGGUUGAA